rnacentral:rRNA from 1 species
CCCUUUGGUUCGGAAUAACGCUGGGAAACUAGCGCUAAUACCGGAUACGCCCUUUUGGGGAAAGGCUUGCUGCCGAAGGAUCGGCCCGCGUCUGAUUAGCUAGUUGGUGGGGUAAUGGCCUACCAAGGCGACGAUCAGUAGCUGGUCUGAGAGGAUGAUCAGCCACACUGGGACUGAGACACGGCCCAGACUCCUACGGGAGGCAGCAGUGGGGAAUAUUGGACAAUGGGCGCAAGCCUGAUCCAGCCAUGCCGCGUGAGUGAUGAAGGCCUUAGGGUUGUAAAGCUCUUUUGUCCGGGACGAUAAUGACGGUACCGGAAGAAUAAGCCCCGGCUAACUUCGUGCCAGCAGCCGCGGUAAUACGAAGGGGGCUAGCGUUGCUCGGAAUCACUGGGCGUAAAGGGCGCGUAGGCGGCCAUUCAAGUCGGGGGUGAAAGCCUGUGGCUCAACCACAGAAUUGCCUUCGAUACUGUUUGGCUUGAGUAUGGUAGAGGUCGGUGGAACUGCGAGUGUAGAGGUGAAAUUCGUAGAUAUUCGCAAGAACACCAGUGGCGAAGGCGGCCGACUGGACCAUUACUGACGCUGAGGCGCGAAA